CCAUGAAAAAAGAACUGUGUGAGCCAGCAUAGGGCUGAAUUGCAAAAUAUAUUGUUAGACAUGUAGCAGAAUAUACUUCCCAAAGCUUAACUGGUGGAAUGAUUGAGAAUUUAACGAGAUGAGUAGAAAAGGACCCAUGGAGAGGUGAUCUCUCUCCUUAUCUGCUGGUCAUUUGGUCAUAGCCUGAGAUGUUGGCUCAGCUGAAGCUGGAAGCCGUGUGCAAGCUUUUGAAGACUGCUGAGCACUUCACCUGGCAUAAAAAGACAUCUUAAUUGCCGCUACUUUGGAGGUAGCAGCAUAUGGAACCACUCUAGCUGAGUGGAAAGGUCAGAGGCUGCUUAAACUGAUUCUUUGUAUGAGCUACAUGUGUCAUGACCAUAAUCACAUCCUUGUGGUAUACCCAAGCGUGUCUCUAUUGCCUUGCAGCUUUCAUGUCAGAAAACUGACCGUCGGAAGUCUACACAAGGGAUGGAGAUCAGCCGUCUCCUAUUCUUGCUGAAAAUUAACAAAAUGAUCUAUAAAAUAUGAAACUUUUUAUCGGCAGCAGAUCCGGACACCUCACACAUGUAAGGUGUUUCCACCUGAAGAGCAAAGAAGAACUGAGUAAGAAGGGACCACUCAGCUGUUUGGUGCAAGGGAAAAGCAUUUUCCCUGAGAAGUAGAAAGAGACUACUCACCCCAAAUAAACUAGAAAUGAAGGUGGACAUUAAAGAUAAGAAAAGAACCUUUUAGAGGUCUCUGAGAGGCCACCAUCACUGUAAGCAGCAGGACCACCAAAGACUUUUCUCAGCAGAUGCUUGAACACAUUUGUGGUCCCCCCAGCAUCCUCACCAUCUGGUGUUCACAUCCUUGUAUGUUCCUCUCCCAUUAAGUGUGGGCAGGAACUGUUAUUUGCAAAAAUGACAUGCUGUGUGUGACUAUGUGUACCUGAUUAUGUGAUUAUGCUAUGUAGGACUUCACACCUGUCUUGCUGGAAUCUCUUUCUCUCCCUUGCUGGCAGUAAGGAGCAAGCAGCAAGGAUAGGAAACCAAACAUGGCAAGGAACUGUGAGUGGCCUCCAGGAGCCAAGGUGGGGCCUCCACCUGGCAGCCAGCAAAAAUCCAGACGCUCUCAAUAAUGCAAUCACUGGGGACCAAUGCUGCCACCAACCACACAAGAAGGGAAGCAGUUUCUUCCCCAAUCAAGCCUCCAGGUGAGAACUCUGCUCUGACCCACAACUUGAUUGCAGCCUUAUCUGACCCUCAGCCAGAGGAGCAAGCUCAGCUGUGCCUGCACUCAUGACCCCCAGAAACUGUGAGAUAAUAUAUCUAUGUUUUCUAAAGCUGUUAACUUUGUGGUAGAAUUGGCACACAGCAGUAGAUAACUAAAGCACAAGAAAGAAGCAAGCCACUUUAGAUGAGGGCUAAUUUGUAAUCUCAGCAAUUGAAAGAACACAGCAUUAAUGACACUGGUUUAGAUAAUCACAACAAAUGAACAAUGUGAGAACUUGACAGACACCAUAGGAAAGAAAGGCACAAGGGAGACCUUAAAAACCAUACAGGAUUUUGAAACAAGAUGAAAAUUUGUUCAGGAUGUCUGGAUGAACUUGCAAGUAAUCUCUACUGUCUCUAUUUAUCUAUACGAACAGAAAGACUCUGGGAAUACACACAUUGCCAGUUGACAGUGCUUCCCUCGGAGGCAGGAAUAUAAGUGAUUUUUCCAUUAACUUUUAUUUUUGUUAUCAAACUGAAAGAUACAUACAAUUAUUUCCCCCUGCAGGUUCUCUAACUUCCUGAUGGACAUUUUUUUUUUAAUUUGCACACAGUUAAAGUUCCCUUUUGGUGGUAUACGGUUGUGUGGGUUUUGACAAAUUCAUAUAGUCAUGUAUCAUACAGAACGCUUCUAUUUCCCCCCCAAUCCUCUUGUGCUGUCCUUUUGGAGAAGGCCCAUUCCUACAAUGCUAAACCCUGGCAACCACUUAUCUGUGUCCAUCCCUAUCAUUUUCAUUUUGCCUGAAUGCCAUUUUGUAUAAAUGCCGUGCGAAUCUGGCUACUUUAACUCAGUAAAAUAGUGUUAAGUUUCAUUCCUGUUGUUCCAUGAAUAAACAAUUUGUUUCAUUUUUGUUGUUGAGAAGUAUUCUAUUGUACAGGUGGACCAUGGUUUAUCUGUUCUUCUGUCAUAGGACAUCUAAAUAUAUGUUCGUUUUCUAAUGCUGCAGUGAUGUUACCACUAACGUAAUGGCUUAAAAUAGCCCAAAUUUAUUAUCUUAAGGGAAUGGAGGUUCAGAGAACCAAAAUGGGUCUCACCAGGCUCAGAUCAAUGUCAGCAGCGCCACAUUCCUCUCUGGAGCAUCCAGGAGAGAAGCCAUUUCAUGGUCCUUUCCAACUUUUCAAAAGCAUCCCCAUUCCUUGGCCUGUGACUGUCUUUUUCCAUCUUCAAAGUCAGCGAUGUCAGGCUGAGUCCUGCUCACACUGCCAUCUCUCUGGUUCUGACUCCCAGAGCCUCCUUCACUUUUAAGGACCCUUGUGAUUACCUUUAUCCCACCUGGAUCAUUCCAGAAUGAUGUCCCUAUGUUAAAGUCAGCAGAUUAGCAAAUUUAAUUCAUCUGAAACCUUGAUACCCUUUUUCCGUGUUACUAACAUAUUCUUCACAGGCUCUGGAGACUAAGAUGCAGAUAUCUGUGAGGGAUCAUUAUUCUCUCCACAGAGGGCUGUUUCCAGUUUUUGGUGAUCAUAAGUAAUGCCAUGUGAACUUAAAUUUCAGAAUUCACUUGGGUAAAUGUCUACUCAUGACAUUGCUGGGUCAUCUACUAUGAUCUGUUAAAGAAAACUAUGAGGCUUCUUAAAGUAUUAACUUAAAAAAAACGACCGAAUCUUCUUCCAAAAUGGCUGUCUCAUUUCAAAUUCCUAUUAGCCAUGCGUGAGAGCUGCUCCACAUCCUAACAAGCAUUUGAUGUUACCUGUUUUUAAAAUUUUAAAGCAUUUUAACAUGUGUGUAGCUUACUGUGGUAUUGAUUUGCAUUUUUCUAGUGAUUAAUGAUAUUGACCAUCUUUUCAUGUGCUUAUUUACCAUAAAUAUAUGUGUCUGUUUAAAUGUUGUGAAUAUCUUUUGUUGUGCUGUUAGUUUUCCUAUUAUUGAGUUUAGAGAGUUUUUAAAUAUUCUCAAUGCAAGUAAUUCACCAGAUAAAUGAUUUGCAGACGUUUUCCCCAUGCCAUAGGUUAUCUUUUCACUUGCAUAAAGUGUCUUUCACAGAGCAGAAUUGUAAAAUUUUGAUAGGUUCAAUUAAUCAAUAUUCUCUUUUAUGGUCAUGAUUUUGAUUUGUAAAAACUCUGUGAUGAACCCAUUGUAACAGAUUUCUCCUAUGUUUUCUUCAAAGAGAUUUAUAGUCUUACAUGUUAUAUUCAAAUCUAUGAUCCAUUUAAAUUUUUUUUGUAUGUGGUGUAAGGUAUGAGAAGGCUUAUUUUGUGAAAAGGCUAUCUACCCUUUCUCUGUUGAAUUACCUUUUUACCUUGGUCUAAAAUCAAUUGUAAAUAUCCAUAUGAGUCUGUUUCUAGGCUCUUCCUUCUGUUUGAUUAAUCUGUGUAUCUAUUCUUCUGACAAUAUCACACUGUCUUGUUUAUUGUAGCUUUCUUGAAAUUGUGCCACGUGGGGCCUUAUGACUUUGUCUUUCUUGGUUGAAAUUUCAGAGUCUCAGAAUCAACUAUUCUAGUUCCUUUGUCUUUCCAUAGCAAUUUUAGGAUUAGCGUGUCAAAAUCCAGAAAAAACUUCGGUGCGAUUUCAAUUAAGAUUACGUUGGAUCUAGAGAUCAAAUUGUGAGAUGGCACCUCAAUGAAACUGAAUUUUCCAAUUUAUGAACAUGGGUAUAUCCCUUAUUUAGGCCUUCUUUGAUUUUUUAAUCUGUUUUGUGAUUUUCCACAUACAUAUUAUGGAGGUAAUAUUAGACUGAUAUAU
ensembl:lncRNA